rnacentral:rRNA from 1 species
ACGGAGUUAGCCGGUGCUUCUUCUGCGAGUAACGUCACAGUUGAUACGUAUUAGGCAUCAACCUUUCCUCCUCGCUGAAAGUGCUUUACAACCCGAAGGCCUUCUUCACACACGCGGCAUGGCUGCAUCAGGGUUUCCCCCAUUGUGCAAUAUUCCCCACUGCUGCCUCCCGUAGGAGUCUGGACCGUGUCUCAGUUCCAGUGUGGCUGAUCAUCCUCUCAGACCAGCUAGGGAUCGUCGCCUUGGUGAGCCAUUACCUCACCAACUAGCUAAUCCCACCUGGGCAUAUCCAAUCGCGCAAGGCCCGAAGGUCCCCUGCUUUCCCCCGUAGGGCGUAUGCGGUAUUAGCAGUCGUUUCCAACUGUUAUCCCCCUCGACUGGGCAAUUUCCCAGGCAUUACUCACCCGUCCGCCGCUCGCCGGCAAAAGUAGCAAGCUACUUUCCCGCUGCCGCUCGACUUGCAUGUGUUAGGCCUGCCGCCAGCGUUCAAUCU